GCGGAUUACUACCCUGGAUGUGUGACUGCCUGGACCGGGCUAUAUUGCUGCUGGCACCGCUCUUAUUUAUUUACCCUUUUGGAUGCUCUAUGCAACCUCCUGGAAGAGUUGAAAAACUGUUGUACACUCCGUAGCGAGUCAUUAACCUGUCAGCUCCAUGCAGCCAUAGGACUUUGCAACGGCAUGGCCUUCCCACCACAUUAAUUUAUCGGGUGGAAAAUGCCUUGGUAAGAGAGGUGACCAAGAACCCAAUCCUGUCUGCAGAUGGAAACUUCCAGAAGGUCAAGGUCCACACAAAUCCAGAUGUGCAGACGUUGUGGCCUCAUCCCCAAAAACACUGGGGGCUGUAAUGGCUUUCAAAGGGGUGUGGACACAGAAGUCAGAAUCUAGGCCCUGGAAUCACCUUUCUGUCAGCAGUUCAGCUUGAUGACUGUGUGCUGGGAUCUUCAGAGAAAAGGAAAAAGAAAAAACAAUGGGGCGAUCCCUGAUGUAGUACUGCAAGAUGUUAUUUAACCCGCCACCGCCCCAGUGGUGCUGUACUGA